rnacentral:tRNA from 1 species
GCCUGGGUGGCUCAGUGGUUGAGCGUCUGGCUUUGGCUCAGGUCCUGAUCCCAGGGUCCUGGGAUUGAGUCCCAUAUCAGGUU